GCCUUAGUAGCUUAGAUCAAAGCAUCGGUCUUGUAAUCCGAGGAUCGGAGGUUAAAUUCCCCCCUAAGGCC
rnacentral:tRNA from 1 species